rnacentral:piRNA from 1 species
UCCCAUGCUGAGAGAGGUCCGCAUGAGCCCC